GACGAACGCUGGCGGCGUGCUUAACACAUGCAAGUCGAACGAUGAAGCCGGAGCUUGCUCUGGUGAAUUAGUGGCGAACGGGUGAGUAACACGUGAGUAACCUGCCCUUGACUCUGGGAUAACUGCUAGAAAUGGUAGCUAAUACCGGAUACGACCCUCGGAGGCAUCUCCAGGGGGUGGAAAGAAUUUCGGUCAAGGAUGGACUCGCGGCCUAUCAGCUAGUUGGUGAGGUAACGGCUCACCAAGGCGACGACGGGUAGCCGGCCUGAGAGGGUGACCGGCCACACUGGGACUGAGACACGGCCCAGACUCCUACGGAAGGCAGUAGUGGGGAAUAUUGCACAAUGGGCGCAAGCCUGAUGCAGCAACGCCGCGUGAGGGAUGACGGCCUUCGGGUUGUAAACCUCUUUUAGUAGGGAAGAAGCGAAAGUGUCGGUACCUGCAGAAAAAGCACCGGCUAACUACGUGCCAGCAGCCGCGGUAA
rnacentral:rRNA from 1 species